rnacentral:rRNA from 1 species
AGGACGAACGCUGGCGGCGUGCUUAACACAUGCAAGUCGAGCGGAAAGGCCCUUCGGGGUACUCGAGCGGCGAACGGGUGAGUAACACGUGAGUAAUCUGCCCCUAGCUCUGGGAUAGCUCCGGGAAACCGGGAUUAAUACCAGAUACGACCACUUUAGACAUCUUCUGUGGUGGAAAGAACUUCGGCUAGGGAUGAACUCGCGGCCUAUCAGCUUGUUGGUGAGGUAACGGCUCACCAAGGCGACGACGGGUAGCCGGCCUGAGAGGGCGACCGGCCACACUGGGACUGAGACACGGCCCCAGACUCCUACGGGAGGCAGCAGUGGGGAAUAUUGCGCAAUGGGCGAAAGCCUGACGCAGCGACGCCGCGUGGGGGAUGAAGGCCUUCGGGUUGUAACCCCUUUCAGCAGGGACGAAGCGAAAGUGACGGUACCUGCAGAAGAAGCGCCGGCUAACUACGCGCCAGCAGCCGC